AACGAACGCUGGCGGCAUGCCUAACACAUGCAAGUCGAACGAGACCUUCGGGUCUAGUGGCGCACGGGUGCGUAACGCGUGGGAACCUGCCCUAGGUUCGGAAUAACUCCCCGUAAGGGGUGCUAAUACCGGCUAAUGUCUUCGGACCAAAGAUUUAUCGCCUUUGGAUGGGCCCGCGUUGGAUUAGCUAGUUGGUAGGGUAAAAGCCUACCAAGGCGACGAUCCAUAGCUGGUCUGAGAGGAUGAUCAGCCACACUGGGACUGAGACACGGCCCAGACUCCUACGGGAGGCAGCAGUGGGGAAUAUUGGACAAUGGGCGAAAGCCUGAUCCAGCAAUGCCGCGUGAGUGAUGAAGGCCUUAGGGUUGUAAAGCUCUUUUACCCGGGAUGAUAAUGACAGUACCGGGAGAAUAAGCUCCGGCUAACUCCGUG
rnacentral:rRNA from 1 species